AGAGCGAACGCUGGCGGCAGGCCUAAUACAUGCAAGUCGAACGGACCCUUCGGGGUUAGUGGCGGACGGGUGAGUAACACGUGGGAACGUGCCCUUUGGUUCGGAACAACUCAGGGAAACUUGAGCUAAUACCGAAUGUGCCCCCAUCCUUAAACAAGAUGGGUGGGAAAGAUUUAUCGCCAUUGGAGCGGCCCGCGUCUGAUUAGCUAGUUGGUGAGGUAAAGGCUCACCAAGGCGACGAUCAGUAGCUGGUCUGAGAGGAUGAUCAGCCACACUGGGACUGAGACACGGCCCAGACUCCUACGGGAGGCAGCAGUAGGGAAUCUUGCGCAAUGGGCAAAGCCUGACGCAGCCAUGCCGCGUGAAUGAUGAAGGUCUUAGGAUUGUAAAAUUCUUUCAGCGGGGACGAUAAUGACGGUACCGCAGAAGAACGCCCGGACUAACUCGCGCCAGCAGCCGC
rnacentral:rRNA from 1 species